rnacentral:rRNA from 1 species
CAGUUCAGAUUGUAGGCUGAAACUCGCCUAUAUGAAGUCGGAAUUGCUAGUAAUCGCAGAUCAGCAUGCUGCGGUGAAUACGUUCCCGGGCCUUGUACACACCGCCCGUCACACCAUGAGAGUCGAUAACACCCGAAGCCUGUAGUCUAACCAUAAGGAGGACGCAGUCGAAGGUGGGAUUGAUAAUUAGGGUGAAGUCGUAACAAGGUAUC